rnacentral:tRNA from 1 species
GUUAAGAUGGCAGAGCCCGGUAAUUGCAUUAAACUUAAAUCUUUACAAUCAGAGGUUCAACUCCUCUUCUUAACACA